CCCUGGUUAGCUCGGUUGGUAGAGCGCGCUCCACCUGUAAUGCAGAGGUCCCGGGCUCGAUACCCGGACCAGGCG
rfam:Ixodes scapularis strain Wikel colony gcontig_1108379117194, whole genome shotgun sequence.